GUCUACGGCCAUACCACCCUGAACACGCCUGAUCUCAUCAGAUCUUGGAAGCUAAGCAGGGUCGGGCCUGGUUAGUACUUGGAUGGGAGAAAGGCUAAGGUUUUUUAUUCU
rnacentral:rRNA from 1 species